rnacentral:rRNA from 1 species
UUCGGGGAACGAUAACGGCGUCGAGCGGCGGACGGGUGAGUAAUGCCUAGGAAAUUGCCCUGAUGUGGGGGAUAACCAUUGGAAACGAUGGCUAAUACCGCAUGAUGCCUACGGGCCAAAGAGGGGGACCUUCGGGCCUCUCGCGUCAGGAUAUGCCUAGGUGGGAUUAGCUAGUUGGUGAGGUAAGGGCUCACCAAGGCGACGAUCCCUAGCUGGUCUGAGAGGAUGAUCAGCCACACUGGAACUGAGACACGGUCCAGACUCCUACGGGAGGCAGCAGUGGGGAAUAUUGCACAAUGGGCGCAAGCCUGAUGCAGCCAUGCCGCGUGUGUGAAGAAGGCCUUCGGGUUGUAAAGCACUUUCAGUCGUGAGGAAGGUAGUGUAGUUAAUAGCUGCAUUAUUUGACGUUAGCGACAGAAGAAGCACCGGCUAACUCCGUGCCAGCAGCCGCGGUAAUACGGAGGGUGCGAGCGUUAAUCGGAAUUACUGGGCGUAAAGCGCAUGCAGGUGGUUUGUUAAGUCAGAUGUGAAAGCCCGGGGCUCAACCUCGGAAUAGCAUUUGAAACUGGCAGACUAGAGUACUGUAGAGGGGGGUAGAAUUUCAGGUGUAGCGGUGAAAUGCGUAGAGAU